rnacentral:tRNA from 1 species
GCCCGGGUGGUCUAGUGGUAUGAUUCGCGCUUAGGGUAAACCCCAAGCAUAAAUGCGCGAGGUCCCCGGUUCGAUCCCGGGCUCGGGCC